ACCCCUUUGCCCCCCAAGUAUAAUUCCUGAAGAAUUAGCCUCUCAUUACACACCAUUAAAUCUCUUGUCACUCAAUCCUGUAGGUUGAUAGAAGCAUAGGAUAUGCUGUGGGGGCAAAAACUCCCCUAAGAGUUAAACUUGGCACUUCUCUGCUUGGUGAUACAGACUCUGGAUGGGUGGUCUCUCUGGAUCUCCUUUCAAUAACAGGUUCACAGAUUCUGUUGCCUGUUGGAAACAGCCUUUGGAAGAGAUUCCUUCCCUUGAGGUAUCACGAUCAUUUUUCAAGCACAACCACUUGCUCUGUCUGGAGGCUCUUUGAUUCCCUUCCAGCCUAUCAGCUACAGAUGAACCAAAUGGGAGCUAAAUGGAACACUGCUAUCAUCUUCUCAGUCUCAGCAGAGAGCAAGGAACAAUUUGACAUAGAAAAUGAGGUCCUUCUGGUCAGACAUGCAACGGAAAAAUGGUAGAAGACAUAAAAUUAGCCUUUUGAAUGCCAUACCUCAUCUCUGGAUUUCAUUAGUGUUCUCCAGCAGUCUGAAGCUGCUUUUGACGACAGUUCUGGAAAAUGAAAAAGUCGUGGAAUGUGUGGGAACCAAGAGCCUGGGACACUACUAAACUGUCAUAACUUGAAAACUGUGUCAUCUGUGAAAUAACACAUGCCCCAGUUUAUAUUGCACUGUUUAGAUUAAA